rnacentral:tRNA from 1 species
AGGGGAGUAGGUUUAACGGUAGACCAUCGGUCUCCAAAACCGAGAGUGGGGGUUCGAAUCCCUCCUCCCCUGCCA